rnacentral:lncRNA from 1 species
UAGAUGGAAGACAUAUGCUAUCUAUAUUUUUUGGAGUUAGAAACAUCUCGUGACGUUCAAACAGGAACUUGGAAAAGGUCAAGUAGGAGUACUUGCCUGUAACAACACUAUGAUGUAGAUACUGUUAUUACUUCUACUUCUUAGGGAAAUAAAUUAACCUAGAAAAUGGGUAGAACUGAGCUUGGCAAACAUGCAGUUUGAUACUUACAUUAGCAACAAACUGUCCUGCCUCCUAAAUUGUGUGACUGCGAUUCCUUAAAGGGUAGAAUGAGCAGAUAGGCAGGAGACAAAGUUGUAUCCCUGUUUUAGUGUAGGGCUUUGUUAGCGAUCAUUCAAUUUUCCCUCACUUUCUACUUUAUACCUAUAGUCACACUAUUAUUAUCUCCUGCAUAUGCCACACUCUUGUACUCCAUUUGGUUAGUUUCAUUAGUGUUUAUAAUGAUUUCACAGCACCGGUUGCAUACGUUGGGAAAAUGUAUGCACUUAAUUGUCACAGGGCAAGAAACUUAGCUGAUGGAGGUGAGAUGAUGAAGUGCUCUGAGAAGAUCACUCAGAAGAAAAGGAUGUGGAGUAAUAUGAAAAGGAAGAUUUCCUACCUAGGAAACAGGAGAUCAGAGGAUAGAACAAGAAUCAGAGAUAUGUUCUUAAAUAUGCAGAACAGGUCUGCUUCUGGGGAAACAAAACCUCAGUAUUUUCAGAAAUAUAUACUUGGAGUAUGUCAUGUAUUAAUGGGUAAAGACGCCAUGGAUAUGAAGGAGAUUACCUAUGGAAGAAUAUUAAGAAGAAAAGAAGGUAAAGAAUCUUCCUUGAGGAACAUCACAUUUAAAGGUCAGGGAGAAGAUAUAUCAGUAGGAGCAUCAGAGGGAGUUGUGGACAAAAUAUUUUCAAAAAUUAAGAUGUGA